rnacentral:rRNA from 1 species
CGGCGUGCCUAACACAUGCAAGUCGAGCGAGGAGAUCCUUCGGGAUGAUCCUAGCGGCGGACGGGUGAGUAACACGUGGGCGAACCUGCCUCAUAGAGAGGAAUAGCCUUCCGAAAGGGAGAUUAAUACCUCAUAACAUUGCAGUUUCGCAUGGAACAGCAAUUAAAGGAGUAAUCCGCUAUGAGAUGGGCCCGCGGCGCAUUAGCUAGUUGGUGAGGUAACGGCUCACCAAGGCGACGAUGCGUAGCCGACCUGAGAGGGUGAUCGGCCACAUUGGGACUGAGACACGGCCCAGACUCCUACGGGAGGCAGCAGUGGGGAAUAUUGCACAAUGGGGGAAACCCUGAUGCCAGCAACGCCGCGUGAGUGAUGACGGCCUUCGGGUUGUAAAGCUCUGUCUUCAGGGACGAUAAUGACGGUACCUGAGGAGGAGCCACGGCUAACUACGUGCCAGCCGCCGC